rnacentral:lncRNA from 1 species
UAGUGGUGGUGUUGUUUUCAAGUUCAGAGGCAGCACCAGCGCCAAAAUGUGAUAACCCCCUGGAGUAUAGCUCAUGCUUGAACGCGUAUAAGAAGCCACCUCCAUCAGCCGGUUGUUGCCAGAAGAUGAAGGAACAAGCACCAUGCUAUUGCGAGUACAUGAAGAUAGAAGAUGUCAAACGUGUUUUUGACAGAGUUGAGAUUGCGAAAAUGGCUAAAUUGUGUGGAGUUUCAUAUUCUUCCACCUGUUAGAAUCACGUUUGGUUUCAUAUGACUAUCUCUGGCUGGGAUAAUGUGGCAUCUCAAUAAAUAAAAAUUUUAUUUGAAAACUAAUUUACUCAUAAUUUCAACUAUAAUUUACCUAUGUUCUUUUUUUUUUUGGAAUGAUACUGGUGAUUUUCUAUUAUUUACCUUUAUUGUCUUGAUUCAUGUUACAUAUGUGCUAAAAGAACUACACAAUGAUCUAGAUUUUGUUUGAACCGUACUGGAUUGGUUGGAUUGGAAACUGGUUUUGAUACUAGUAUAAUUACAGGGGUUAGAUUGGUUGACCCACGAACCAAUAGAGACUAGUUGAAUCGAUUUUCUCUAUUUCUUAAAAAUUAUUUUUAUAUUUAUUUGAAUUUUUAAAUAAUUUAUUUAAUAAAACUGGACGAAUUGGUCGAAAUGAAAAAUAGUUAUUUAACUGAUUCGACCAUCAGUCCAGUUCUGAAAACAUUGUUAUAGUUAAAAAAAGAAAAAGAAAUGGGUAGGGUAGAUCAAAUUAUUAAAUUAUAAACAUAUAUGUUAUUCGAAUAUUUAUUUGGGUAAAGCACACUUGUAGUCACUCAACUAUUAGUAAAUUUCUCUUUUAUGCUCUGAAUUAUGAAAAUUUACAAAAUGAUCACUCAAUUAUUCAAUUUUCUCUUUUUUGAUCUCUUGUUAGCUAGACUUGUUAAUUGGCCGGGUUACCUUACCAGGCAUGUAACAACCCAUUUUUCAGUGGUGUCAGAAACAAUGGUUUCGGGACCACAAAUUCGAUGAGUAAGUCUAUAUAUUUAUUAUUUAAUAUUUAUGAGUCAGUUUCAAUAUUAUAUUGAAUUUGUGAUUAAUAAUUUUUAUAAAUUGAACGAAUAGAUAAGUAAAAGUGGUUUAAUCCAAAGUCAAGUGGUUAUUGAAAAUGAGACGUUGGGACCUCAUUUCCGUAAUUUAAGGUCGUAAAUAUUUUUAUUAAAUAUUUAUGGACUCUUAUUAUAGGUGAAUUUAAGUUUGGUUCGGUAAUUUUGACGAUUGAUUUCUUAAUUAAGGAAAGAGAAUUAAAUUGUAAAAAAGGUAAAAAUUACCCAUUAUAGAUUUUAAAUUACCAAAGGGAUUAACAUGGAAAUUAGACCAUUGCCAAAAGUCCAAGCGGUGGUGGAUGGUAAUCAUUCCACUAACCUUUGGGAUAUUUGUUCAUUAGGUCCUAAUUAGGUUAAGGUUAAGUUGAAAUAAAGUUGUUUGAUUUGAUUUAAUAUAAUUGAAGGACCAAUUGUGCAAUUGGACUUUUCUUAAAUGGCCAAACGGUAGGAAGGAUAUGAAAUUCUCUAGUUUUGUGAUUAAUUGCUAUUAGAUCCUUAUUAUUUAGUAAUGAAUUAAAAAGGACUAAAUCAUAAAGAAUGAAAAAGUUAAGUUUUAUUAAUUGGAAAUGUAAAUUAGAUGGACCUAGACGGUAAUUAUGUCAUAUAUAUUUGAUGGAAAAUUAUGAACAUGUGUUAGAGAUAUUAUAAGUAUAAUUUAAAGGUUAAUUUUGUAAAUAAGUAAAUAGGUUAAUGAAAAAUAAAAGAUAACUAAAUUUAAAAAGCUAUCAUCUUUUUAUCCAUUCAAGAAAACUGAAAACACCAUUUUUAGAGGAGAAACAAGUUCGUCCAACUAGGGUUCUUCCAUUUAAGAGCUAAACCUUGCUCAUUGUUAGUAUUUUUUUAUGUUUUUAAGUUUAUUUUAGCUUGAUCUAGCUAACUUAAGGUCUAAUUUGUAAAAUUGUUAAACGUUGUAGAUUAUGCCAUUGAUGAUUUAGUGUGUUCUUGAAGUUUAAUGGUAUAUUAUUAACCUUGGUUGUUAAAUAAGACUAUUUUGUAAAGUAUUUUUUUUUGUAAUUUUAAUGUUAAAGGACCAAAAUGUUAAAGUGAUAAAAUUACAAGGACUUGACGUGAAAUAAUAGCAAGUUUGAGUUUUAAUGUAAUAGAAUGCGAUUCGGUUUGAUUUGGAUUUGGUUAAAAUUGGUUAAAUAGCAAGUUUGGAGCUUAGAGACUAAAUUAUAUAAAAGUAAAAUAUUGGAGGUAAUUUUGUGAAAAUGUCAAAAAUGACUUAGUUGCAUAUAAUAGUUAAUUAUGUUGCUAGAAAUUGAUAAUUGAAUGAAAUUAUUAUUUAGAUUGUGAAUGAAUUGAAAAUCGAAGAAAAGAGAAAGUUGCUGAAUAGUCCUUGAACUUUUGUCAUUUCUGCAGUUUAGCUCUGGUAAGUUCAUUUAAUAUGAAAUAAAUUAUAUUUCUAAUUGUUUAUGAAUGUUAGAGCUUAAAUGAUAUAAAAUUACUAAUAUUUAAAUUGAUUUAUUUAUAGAACUGAAACUGUAAAAAGUUACGAAAAUGGUAUUUUUUUAUAUCAAUGGAGACAAGCUAUAUUCGUAUGUAAGACCAUAACAAGGCUAUGAAAAUUAUAAACGUAAGACCAUAGUGAGAGCACAAUAUGAAACGUGUAUUGGGGUUUCAAUCGUCUUUACAAUAUUCAUCAUAUGGAAAUAAAUGAGGAUCUAAAUGUGACUUGAUGUGUGAAACGAUAAGUGGUUUGUAAUAGUUAUACGUGUAAAGGUAGUAAAUGUUGUAUUAUCAUUAUAUGUUAAAGCGAUUAUGCAUUGUGAUAGUAAGAAAUGCGAAUGUUGUUGAAAUGUGGAAAUUUGAUUUGAACUAAUGUUUGAGCAUUACUCACUUGCUGUAAGCUGUGAUUGACAAGAAUUCUGAUAAUAACCUUGUUGACAGUAACUCUAUUCAUUUAUCUUGUUAUUUGAAUUAUUUUGUUUAAUUUAGUAAGUUUUAUUGUUUAAUUGACGAACUUACUAAGCUUUAUGUAAGCUUAAUCGUUUCCUUGUCUUUUUCUUUGUAGAUUAUAUUUUAUGGAAAUCGGGAGAUCGAAUCAACUCAAAGAAUCACACUACCUGAAGACCUUUUUGGUAGAUUUUGAAUUCAAUUUGGCUUAUAUGGCAUGUAAUAGGAAAAUUUUAUUAUGUUUUGUAAUGGCUCCUAACUACUUAUAUUGUACAGUUGUUGUGUAUGUAAGGUUGUGGCUUGAAUAACUUUGUUAGACAUGCAUGCUUAAUUCUAAACUUAAGCAUAAUGGAUAAACAUGGAAUGAUAAGUUGGCAUGAAUUAGAUAUGGUAAGUUGGGACUGAAUUUGAGUGUGUUUGUGGUUUGUGUAUAUUUGCUAAGGUAAUGAGAUCAUAGGGUUGGACUUGUGGUGUCUUUGUUGACACAUUAGGUUAGGUCUUGGCUGAAUGAUUUAGCAUGUUUUGGAUGUUCUCAAAUGUGUUUUGAAGUCUUGUGAUCAUGUGUUAUAAAAUGGUUUAGGUACCUAAGCAUUUAGAUGUGAAAAGUGCAUGUUUUGGGUCAUUUUUGGGCACACACGGCCCGAGACACAGGUUGUCACAUGAUCCUGUAUCACACAUGGGCAACCUACACAGGUGUAUGCUCCGAGUGUGUUAGGUGCAGGGUUCACACGGGCUGGCACACGGAGGAGUCACUGACAUGUGAGCCAAGUUAGUGAGUUACACAAGUGGAUACACAUGUGAGCACAUGGACGUAUGGAGUAGCCACACAAGCGUGUGGGAUAGCCACAUAGCCAUGUCUAGAGGCACACGAUUUAGAUUCUGUCACACGUCUUAGACACACGACCGUGUGACCCUUGUUUGAAAAUUUUUCAAUUUUUCUCUGAACUUCUUGAUUUGAUUUGAAUUGGUCCCUAAUUGUUCCUAAUAUAUUUUUAAAGCCUCUUAGGCUCGAUUUAAGCUCCAUAAAUAUAUGUUUAUUUCAUUCUGAAUUAUAUAUGUAUUUUCAAAAUUGAUAUGAUUAUUAGAUGUUAAUUGUUAUGAGAUGUUCCGAAUUGUACGAUAAUACUCUGUAACCCUAUUCUGAUGAUGAAAACGGUUUAUGGGUAUUAUAUUAAGUGGUAUUAGAACCACAAUUUAGUCGAUUCUUAGAAUGAACGUAGCGUGUUCGAAGUCUAGAAAUUACAUGCCAUAUAAACUAGUGAUAGUGUGAUAUGGAUUGAUCCGAUCUAACACCUAUUUUAUUGUAGAUUAUAAAGAUGUCAUCUGAAUCUGAUCGUGACGAAACUAAUGAAGUUAAUAGUAACAUUUCGACUUUUGAUUCUGGUGCAAGUCAUAGUAUACAGGUUCCACAAAUGCCUGAAAAUGAGGUUAAGAAUAUUUUCUUAUAGAUCUAAUGAAUGUUAAUAGAAUCUGACCAUACUGAACUUGAUGAGGUAAAUGGUAAUAUUCCAACUUAUAAAUAAGAGGUAAUGUAAUGACCCAAAAUCCACAUGCACCGGAAAAGUGAGUUAUAGGGCCCCCGUCUUAGUGAAAUAAGUUCGAAAUAAUUAUAAAAAUAUUUAUGAGCCUAGUGAUGUGUCUAAUUAGGAUUUAAUUAGGUGAAAUUAACUUAAUUUAGAAUAAUUAGCAAAAAGAACUAAAUUGAAAAAGGGGUAAAAGUUUAAUUCUAAAGUAAUAGAAAAUAAAAAGGAUCAAAAUGGCAAUUAAGCCAUUUACAUAAAUUGAGGCGGCAAAUGGAAGAAAAAUCAAGAUUUUUCUUGAAUAUAUGUAUUAUAUAUUUAUAAUAUUAAAAUUAUUAUUAUUAUGGUUUUAUAAUUAUUAUGAUUAUUUAAUGAAUAUUAUAUUUUAAAUAAAUUAAAUAGUUGAUAAAUAUAUGGUAAUAAAAUUUACAUGUGUAAAAAUUAUUUUGGUACAUUUGUAAUUUAAAUACUAAAUUACUUAUAAUUUAAGUAAAAAGAUAUUUGUUAACUAAAUAAUUAAAAUUUUAAAUUAUGAGAUUUUUGUUUGAGAAACAAAUUAAAUAAUGACAAAUGUAAUAAAAUUAUUGGUACAAAUGUAGAAUUAAAUAUGUGUACAAUUGUAAAAUAUGUAAAUGAUGUUAAAAUAGAUAUUUAAAAUAAAUAUAUUAUAAUAUAUGCUAAUUAAAUAAGUAAAGCAAAUAAAUAUAAAAGAGAAAUAAAGAAACAAAAGGGAAUAGAAAUAGAAUUGAAAACGGGAAGCAGGGGAGAAAAAGAGAAAGAAAAAGGGCAAGAAAAAUAAAAGAGAAAACUAAGGAUUUGAAGCUUGGAGUUAAUUUGGAAAGUCAAUUAAGUCCUUUUUAGUUAAUCUUGAUGUUUUAGAAGCUUUGAAACAAGAUUUUGAUGAAAUUAAGUUGAUAGUUCAAGAGUUCAUAUGUUUCCAAAUAUGGUUCAUGUUGGACAAAUUAUGGAAUUAGGGAUUUAAUUGAAUGAAUUCUAAGUUAGAAUUGAUUAAGGGAUUAAAUUGUAAACUAGGCUAUAAGUUUUAUGUUGUAGGGACUAAAUUGAAUAAAUUUCGAAAUUAGGGAAAUAUGCAGGAAAUUUUAUAGUUAAAUAUAAGUUUAGACUAAAUUUAAAUAGAAAAAGAGAGUGAAUUGGAUUAAGAAAAUAAUUAAGUUUAGUUAGGAUUAAAUUGGGAAUAAGGUAGGAAUUGUUUAGAAAUUUAAUUAUUUAUUAUAAUUAAUGCUGUAAAUAAUAAUGUAAAUUACUAUUAUUUUCGUAGCCAACAAAGAACCUGAAGCAUCAGCAUCAAAAGGAAAGGAGAAAGUCAUCGAGGACUAAAACGGGAGAAUUACGGUGUGUAUUACUAUAAUUCGAAUUUUAAUUAUUAUUGAUUGCUGAAUUUUUAAUUGUUAUGUAUGGUAAGUAAGACUUGAGGUAAGUAAGUGAAAUUGAUAUGAAUAUUGAGUGAAAAUGAAAGUGAUGCAUAUUGAAUUAAAUUGAAUAGAAUAAGUGAAUUAUGGAAUAUGUGAUUAUUUGAAAAGUGUAUUGAUUGAAAAAUGAAUGGUGAUUUGAAUUGUGAAUUGAAAGUGAUAGAAUUGAGAAAGUGAAUUGAAUACCCUAUUAACUAGUCGGGCUGAGUCGGAUAUAGUUGGCAUGCCAUAGGAUUAGAAGUGUUCAGGGAUGCUUCGACCUCAAGUCGAUGAGACACUGGGUGUCACUAAAUUUCUUCGGAUAGAUUCGAUGAGGUACUGGGUACCAACUUUACUUCGGCUAGGCUGAUGAGACACUGGGUGUCAACUAUUACUUCGAACUAUCCGAUGAGGCACUGGGUGCCAUAUUGGUGUGUUUGAUUGGAUCCAUGUAUCCGCCAAAGUCCGAGUUACGUUAAUAGGGUGAAAAAUUGAAAUGUGAAUUUAAGGCAUUGAAAAAAAAAAGGAAAUUGAAUUAUGAAUAGAAAUUGGAAUUGUGAUAGAAAGAGAAAAGUAUGAGCUAAAUGUUCGUAAGUGGUUUAAAUUCAAGUUUGUGAAAAAUACAUUAAUUGACGAAUAAUUAAAUUGAAUUGUUAUUAUGAAAUGAUGAAAAUAAAAAUAAAAAUAAAGUAUGAAUUAGUAUUUAAGAAAUUAAUUGUUAUGUAUUUUAAUAUUUAUAUUUUUAUUAUUGAUGAUAUAUUUUGAAUUAUGGUAAUACCACUGAGUAUAUCCAUACUCAGCGUAAGGUUGUUUCUGUGCGCAGGUUAGUAGAAGUCAAGUGUCCCGGCUCAGCAUCCAGAACUAUCCCGACUCCAACACAAAUUUGGUGAUGUAUAUUUUUCUUUUGGGUAAAGGUGGCAUGUACGUAGGUGUUGUUUAGUCACUUGAAUAUGUAUAUUACUUUGGGUAGUGAAGGAUGAAUUAUAAGAUUUAGAUGGUUAAAUGAAUGAAGUAUUUAAUCAAUUUAGAAUGAUGCUAUGAUAGUUAUUAAGUUAAAAAUUAUGUUAAUGAUAUAAAUAUUAGUUAUAUGAAUGUGAAACAUUGGUGUUGGUUGUUUUGGUUUGAAUUUGCAGGGGUUUUAGGUAAAAAUAAGCAGAAAUGCUGCCGAAUUUUUUUUUAUAAAAAAAAAAUUCCCGGAAUACUCGAACAAGUCCCGUUCUACUUUUAAUACGUGUUUGAACUUCGAGAGUCCAAUAUAGGGACUUAAUUAUUAUAUUAUACUAUGAAAGUUAUAUUAAUUGUAAAUUAUUCGUAAGUUGUCUAAUAUGUCCGGUAAUGCCUCAUAACCUCGUUCCGGCGACGGUUUGGGGUUAGGGGGUGUUACAGGUAAAUUAUAGUUUAUCGGUUUUGUAAAUGUCAGAUAGUGAAGUCAAAAUGUCAUUUCAACUUAAUGAGUCAGUAGUUCACAGAAAUAGCUUGAGCCAAUUCAGAGGCUCUACAAUUUCUACCUCUUUUCGAGCAUCCCGUGGUAACUUUGAGUCUUCAACUGACUAAAAUAGUUCGAAGACUCUUGUGUAAAUAAUUAAAUAGUAUAGUGAUGAAGACUUCAAAAGUAAAAUAGAUGAAGAUUCUAUUAACCAACAAAUUGGAGAGAUUAAUUAAAACUGAAAUUAACUAAAUUAAUUAACUAAAGAACACGACAAAGAAUGAAUUAGGAAAACAAAUGAUUAACAACCAACAAAGAAAAUAAUACCCAGGAAAGAAUCCUCCUAGAUUUCAUCUGUCAUUAUCAAUCUGAAUUAAACAAUUUCUUCACUUUCUAUCUUGAUCUGUAGAAAUCCCUAAAUUAUGUUAAUAUCUCUUUCGAGAGUAAGAGCAACUGACUUUAGGUUAAUUAAUUGAAAUUUAUUUCCAAUUAAAACCCAUAUUAUCACAUUAACUCGAUCUAUUGAUCCCCCUAUUAGAUUUAACUCUAAUGUGGUAGAUUUAUGUCAUCCUAUUUCUAGGAUUGCAUGCAAUUCCACUCAAUAAUGCUAGAUCUACUCUUAAACAGAAACUUUUUCUCCUCUGAUUUAGAAAUAUCAAACCAAUAAUUAAGCACAAAUAAUUGAGAACAAGAUCUAAGUAUUUAUUGUGUAGAAUAGAAGUCAAACAACAUAAUUCAUCAUAUGGUUUAUUUCCCCUAGGUAUUUAGAAAAUUAGUUCAUAAUCACAAAUAAAAGCAUCCAGAAGACAGUAUAACCACAAGAAAUAAGAAAACCCAUAAUAAACUUCAAAGGAAUCAAGAGGAGAUCUUCAAUAUUGAUGGAAAUUUGCUUUAGAGUCGGCUUCAAUGGUGUUUUUUAAGUUGUUUUCUUGAGUAUUCUAUGAUGGCUCACUCCCUUCUUUUUAUAUUAGGUAUAUAUAGGUUUUAAAAUACCCGAAAAACCUAAAAUUAAGUUUUUUUUUGCAUUUCUAGAGUGCAUUUUGCAAUUUCCACACCGUUUGGCACACGACCAUAUGGCUCACACAGCCGUGUGUCCAGUUCGUAUGGAAUGGCUCAGCCAUUGUGGCUUCUGAAACUUGCUCUUAUUUUUUGAUUUUCUCUCGUUGUUUAGUCAUUUUGCUCCCAAAUACUCUCCUAAGUAUAGAAACAUGAAUUUAAAGGAUUAUGAGCAUAAAAUUCACCAUUUUAAAUAGAAUAAUCAUCCAAAAACGCAUUAAGAAUGAGGCAAAAACAUGUUACUUUUGGCAUUUGUCAAAUAUCCCCACAUUUAAGCAUUUGCUUGUCCUCAAGCAAAAUCCUCAACCCACAUUCAAAUUAACUGUUCUCAAGUUGUCAUUUUCAUCAAUAAUGUUUCAAGAUAAUUCGCAAACAAUCAUGCAUUGGAAAUUCAACCAAAAGGACACUAAAGAUUCAAGCAGUCCAAACCAUAACCAUAAAGUUAUCUCGCCUUAUCUAAAUAAUUAUCUUAAGGUUCAAAUAUUGUGCACUCAAUAUUCGAAAGAGAAAUGCCAUUACCAUAAAAUUGCUUAAAAAUCAAAUCUCCACCACUAUAGAAUGAGAUGACACACCAAUCAAUAGGUCUUUUCAAGGUUGUAAUGGGGCUUAGGUUAAGGGUAUGGAAAAGGUCAGAAAAGUCGGUUAUAAUCAAGAUCGAGUUAAUAAAUUAUCAAACUAGAAAAACAAUCAAUUGCUAAAUUAAAAGAACUUACAUCAAAAAGAAUAAGCACAAAUGGAAACGAGCUUUUCGACAGAAUAUGAAACUAAUUAUUCAAGCUAAAUAUAAAAUUUAUGUUUUUUCUUUUCGAUUUUUUUGAGAAAUAAGAAAUAAAAUUCAACAAUUUAAAAAAAAAUGAAAUAUUGUUCUCGACAAAAAGGGAGUCAAUAAAAAGAAUACAUUUACAACAUAGAUUUGGGUUAAGGGUUAACAUUAAUAGGUUAAUAAAAAAAAAUUUAGGAUCAAUGAGGUUUACUAGGGGUUAACACAACAAUUAAGGUGGUUAAAUGAGUUAAAUCCUAAGUAUCUCUAUCAUCUCAAUAUAUUAAAUCAAUAAUAUGGUCUAAACAUGUAUAAUAUAAGAAAGUUCUAGAAUAACAAAUGAAGUUGACAUACUUUCAACCAAAAAUAAAAUGAGCACGAAUAAAUAUAAGCUCUAUAGGCUCAAAGGCUCACAAAAAAUUAAGGUUUUGAUGUCAAACUUGCAAUUUCAGAGUUUCAAGACAAUAAUUCAAUUCAAGAAAGCAACCUAAAAUAUUUAUUUAUGAAAAAUUAACUUAUCAUGCUUGACUCUCUCGUGCCUUAAAGUAUAAAUCACACAAUGCAUAUAAAUCCACAAAUUAAUCCAAAACAACAUCAAUAAAAAUUUCAAAUAAAACAAUUCACUCUAACAGACAACCUUCUCAGACUUAAGAUGUAUAUUAUCCUUCAUGUACAAAUAGAUAUAAGCACAGAAUAAGACAAUAUCAAAAGAGAGGGAGAACUAAAACUAGCCUGAAUAUGGAUGAAUUUGCCAUAAUAGUGAAAAGCAGAAUCGUAAGCGAGUCUAAAUGCGGUGCAUGUUUCCAAGUAAACUAAUAAGAAAAUUAACAAAAAUAAAUAAGAAGGUAAAGAGAUUACAAACUUGAACAAAACAACCAUCAAAAUAAUAAAAAUAACAGCAUAGUUCAAAAUAUAAAUAAAAUAAAUUAGUCUCACAAAAAAUACAACAAUUAAAAAUAAAAGUACAAUUGAAAAUAAAAUAAAUAAAGCAAAAAAAAUGAAAAAAAAUUAGUGAUCAUCAUCGUGAGAGGCAUCAGGAUCACACGAAACAUAAGCAGAAUGGGAGAUAUGCAGGUGUUGGUGAAUCAAUGUAAAGCCGCGUCAAUGUUGUCGAACCAUGCUGACUGUUACUUGACAUGCUCAUAAUGUAACCGUUCGAGGCGAUUUAGCUGAUGUGAAAUAUUGCCAAGUGUGACUGAAUGUGCAGGUGCAAUAGUAGAAGGGCUCGGAGGAUUGGGAAUGGGUCGCAAUGCUGGGGGGAGAUCAUCAUCAAGGUGCUUAUUAUCCUCGUGCUAUUAAGUUGCUCGUAACAACACAUACUGAUCACCGAAAGGCCCAGGCUGAUGAGCAAUCAUCCUCAUAUGUUUCAUAAUAUUUAAACCUUGUGGUGUCAUGUCCCCAACCAAAGUAAGAGUACCAAUCUGCUUGGGAGUCUCGAGGAGACCAAAGUGACAAGUCAAGAGUGUGAUAUCUAGACCCAUACAAAGAGGUCCUCUCCGUGACCGCUCACUCUGAUUAUGAAAACACUGGGCUACAAAGUGGGCUAGAUCAAUCAGAUGUUGUCCGUGCAUACUCUAUAAGAAAUAUGCAUUUAAAAUGCCCACGAUGCUUUUAACGGCCUGUUUUCAGUGGUGUUGAAAAUAGUGGUUUUGUGUCCAUAAUUCUGAUUAGUGAAUUAUUAAUUUAUUAUUUAUUUAAUGUCUAUGGGAUUAUAUUAAGGUCUUAUUAAUUUUUUUUAAGAAAUUUUGAUGUUUAAAUGGUUAAUUAGGUGAAAAUGAUUAAAUCGUGAAAAGUGUAAAAGUUGAGUUGUAUUAGUUAAAGUGGUCUAAUGGCUAUGAAAUCAUAAACUAAAGGACUUGAUUGGUAAAUAUACCGUUUAAAGUGUUAGUGGAUGUGCAUGGACAAGGUUUUAAUGAAAUUUUGAUAGUUUUUAAAGGUUAAAAUGGCAAUUGAAUAAUUAACUUUAAAACAAAAGAAACUAAAAAUGGUAUCAUCAUCAUCCUUGGCUAUCUCCACCAAAAUUUGAAGAGGAAAACACCAUUAGAAUAGGGUUGAGCAUUCGAUCAAGUUUCUACUUGUAUGUAAGUGAAUUCAAGCUCCUUUUUUUUAAUGAUUUUUAUGUUUUCGAGUUCAUUUUAGCUUAAUCUAGCUAGCCCGGAGGUUAAUUUGCAAAACCGUUAAAGGUUGAAGGACUUUUCAUGGAUAUUUUUUAAUGUGUUUUGACGUUUUUUGAUGUAUUAUUUAUCUUUUGUAACACCCCUUACCCGUAUCCGUCGCCGGAACAGGGUACGAGGUAUUAACAAAUUAUAGUAUAUACUAUUAAAUAAAACCCAACAAAAAUAUGGCGUGCAAUUUGAUCAUGGAUCAUUAUAACAUAUGCCAUUAACAAUACAAACCAACUUCAAAGGCUUCGUACAAAAUGAUUAGUUUGAUACUAUAAGUAGUAAUUUAAACCUAGACAAUUAUGACACGUAACAAAAUAACUAAGUCUGCUAUACAUGCCAUAUUUCAAAAUGUUGAGUUCAGAUACCAAGAGUAUUGAUAGUGCGGGCGGAUCUUCUAUGAUCUCUGAUUCCUGUACUCGCUGGAUGACACUAUAAGACAAAUGAGAGAAAAGAAAGUAAGCUUAUAGCUUAGUAAGUAAGUAAAUAAAUAACAAAUAAGGAAUCUAAUAUGUUUACAACAUAACUCAAUUAUAUCAUAUUUUUAAUCUUACUGUUUACUCCAAUUUGAUCAAGCUGUCCCUCCUGCGUCAUGAUCACUAAAUAAAUCAUAACUUGAGUUACGAAACUCGAAAUCCAAAUCCGUAAAAUUUCCCUGAAUCUAGACUCAUAAAAAUUCUUACAAAUUUUUUUCUAGAAUUUUUGGUUCAGCCAAUUAGUACAGUUUAUUAGUUAAAGUUUCCCCUGUUACACAGCUCAACUGAUCUGACCUCUGUUCAUUACGAAUUGAAUUUCUCUUAGUACACAAUUCAAAUAACCAUGAAACCUGUUUCAUUUAAAAAUAUACUCAAUAAGAAAUUUAUUCAUAUAAACUAUAUUUCUUAAUUUGUUUUGUAUAAUUUUUAAUGAUUUUUCAAAGUUGAAACAGGGGAUCACAUAGUCAUCCUGAACAAGUCUCACACAAUUGUAAAUAUCUCAAAAUAUAGAAUUCCUUUGCUUGCUCUGUUUCUUUUAUAUGAAAAUAGACUCAUUAAGCUUUAAUUUCACAUCUCAUUCAACCUCUAAUUAAAUUCCUUAUAUUUUUGGUGAAUUUUCAAAAUCACGUCACUGCUACUGUCCAAAACAGUUUUAAUGCUAAUUUCACUCUUUCACACAUUCUUUAUACUAACCUCAUUUUAACUUACAUAUAUAUAUAUAUAUACCACAAAUCAUUUUCACCACAUUUCAUGCAUCACAAGUGUAGGUCCAUGACUACAAUGUCACCACAAAACCAUCCCGUUGAACAAUUCGGAUUAAUCCUCGAUACUUGAUGGUUUCAGCACACAGCUCCACCAUCAUAUUUCAUUUAAUUCGACUCUCUUGUACACAUGGUGAACACUUAGUACGACUCAUGCGACCUAGCUGAUUUGUCUCAUAGCUCUCUUGUCUACAUGGUGUCCUUCACUUGGAAUCACGCAUGCGACCUAGCUACAUUUAUCUCUCACGUAGCUCUCUUGUCUACAUGGGAUACAUCCCGUAUCACACAUGUGACCUAGCUACUAUAUAGUAUCUCGUAGCCUUCUUGUACACAUGAUGUGCACUAGGCACCAUACAUGUGACCUAGCUACGCUCCCUCUAUUUUAUUCGAUUUUUCCGAAUGUUCAACCGGGAUCUCUCUCUCUAUUACUUAUUUCCAUUCUUCCAAUAGUCGAUUUAUACUUCAACAUCAGCUAAUAUAUAUAAUAGGCUGAAAUAUAAGAAUGUAAAUGAAAUUAAUGUAUUAUUUACAUACAAACUUACCUCGGUGCAAAAUAUGGGAAUUUUGCAAUUUAGUCCAAAACUUUCUCCUUCCCCCGUUCGAGGUCGAUUCCACGCCUUUCUUGAUCUAUAACAACAUAUUUAGCUCAUUUAACACUUGAACUAUUUAUUUUAAUCCAAAAAUCACAUUAUACAAAAAUUACAUUUUUGCCCCCUAACUUUUACAAAAUUACGAUUUUUCCCCAAGGCUCGGAAAUUUAAUUUCAGCCCUUAUUCUUAUGUUUAAUGACCUACUGAUCAUUUUUCUCUUCUCUGGCAACAUCAAAUUCUCACUCUAACACAUAGUUAUGAACAAUAGGUAUUUUUAUCGAUUAUGCCGUUUUGCUCGUUUUCGUUAAAAAUCGCUUAGAAAAGAUCGUUCUCCUAACUUCAAACAUUCAUAUUCUACCAUCAAACAACAAAAUACAUGCCUUUAAUUCAUGGGUAAAUUUUUAAACAUAAACCCUAACUCAAACUAAUGGUAGAAAUAAGUAAACCGAGCUACGAGGAUUUCAAAAAUGUGAAGAACAUUAAAAACGGGGCUUGAAAUCACUUACUAUGAAGCUUGAAAGUUGAAGAAACCCUAGCUAUGGAGGAGAGCAAUUUUCGGCAGCAACUAAUGAAGAUGAUAACCAAUUUUGUGUUAUUUUUCCCAUUUUAUUUCAUUUAAUAUACAAAUGACCAAAAUACCCUUACUACUAAACUUUCAAAAAAAUUCCCUCCAUGUCCAACUUUUGUCCAUAACUUAAGAAUGGGUCAAAUUUCUAUUUAAGACCUCCUAGUAAAUAUCCCAAAGCAAUUUCAUACUAAAAACUUCUAAAACACGAGUUUUACAAUUUAUUCGAUUUAGUCUCUAAUCUCAACUUAAGCGCGAAAUGCACAGAAUUUCAUCAUGAAACUUUCACGAAAUCAUGAAAUCAUAUCAUAAACCCCAAAAUAAUUAUAAAACAAUUAUUUCUAUCUCAGAUUUGUGGUCACAAAACCACUAUUUCGAUUAGGCCCUAAUUCAGGUUGUCACAUCUUUGUUGUAAAAUAGACAUGUUUUGUUAAGUGAUUUUUGUUGAAUUUUGGAAAUAUGGAUUAAAUUAUUAAAAGUAUAAAUCCGUGGGUUUUGUUGUGAAAUUUUGGUAAUAAUGGGUUGUUUCAAGGUCCUUUUGAACAUUGGUUAAGUUGGCUUUAGGUUAAAAUGGUUAGAUUUUAAGUUAUGAGCUUGAGGACUAAAUUGUAAAAAGUCAAAGUAUUAGGGACAAAUUUGUUAUUUUUUUAUAAAUAUGAAUUAUGGAUUAAAUUUAAUUCUACUUGAUUGAAUGAAAUUAUUUAUUUAGAUCAAGAUAAACCAUAAUCGGACUUAAAUCGUGGAAAAGCUAAAGUUUCGGAUUAGUGUUUGAUUCUACUUUUACGCCCUAGUUAUUAAGGUAAGUUCGCAUGAACUAUGAUCGUUUUAAUGUUAGUUAAAUUGACUAUUUGCUGUGUUGUUUUAAUAUAAAUGAAUCUAUGUAUAAAUGUAUCUAAGCUAUGAUGAAUUAACGGAUAACGAGUCCCAUUUGAACCUUAAGAAUUCUUAGGAUACAAAUGACAUGUCAUUAGGGAUUUCAUGUUUCGGGUGUUGGUCUUAAAUGUCCUACCGAUGGUUGAGGUCCUGCAUUUGUUGCAGAUUCUCCACAGCUCGUGUGAGCAAUAUCAUGUAGCUAACAUUCCGACCCACAACUCAUGUGAGCAGGUGUGAGCAUUAAUGUAAAGGAAAUGUUACUAUUAUAUGGAAAGGCACACUACGAGUGAACAUUCCCGAGUAGCUGAUGUAAUUCUAGAUGGUUCAAUGGGUAAGAAAAGGAAAUGAAAUGGUAAGUAUGCAAAUGGAAUGAAUCUUGAUCUUAUAAUGACAUUGAUGAGUUAAAUGAUAUGUUUAUAUAUGGUAAACUACAUAUCUUAUGGUUGAUUUCAUUUGUAUCAUGAACAAGUGUACUAACUUGUUAGUUUGAUGAUGUUGUAUAGGCUUUUACUAAGCUUAUGGCAUUGGUAAUGAUUUAUGCUUAAUCUAUGAAUUGUAUAAAUAAAAUGGUAAGUUAUGUUAAGUUUUUACAAUCUUACUAAGCACUCAUUGCUUACAUAGUUACUUUCCUUUGUUUUAUAGAUUAUAGGAAGCUCGAUCAGUUGGAAGUUCGUCGAAGACCUAUCACACUAUCCAACAAUCAUUUUAGUAUAUUUUUUUUUGUAUAUUUUGGCCAAGGUUAAUAAUGGCAUGUAUAGGAUCUUUGUAAUGUAAGUUUUGGUAAGUUUAAGCUUUUGCAGUUAUGCUGGUUUGGUGCACUUUUGAUGUCUUACCAAGUUAUGUCAUAUUAGUUACUUUUAAGUGCUUGUAAAUAAGGUUCUUUUGGUAUUUUUUGAUGGCUUGCAAAUGGUCAUAUGUGGUAGUUAAUUAAACUAGGUUAUUAUGGCUGGGAAUAUACAACAUUGACUUAUUUUGGUAAGUGAUAUUUUGCUAUAUUUGUGGUGCCUUUGAAUGGCAUAUUGGGUUAGAUGAAUUAGGGUGUUUGAAAAGGCAUGUUUUUGUGUAUUUGAAUGAAGUUUAAAUUCCUUGAAUGUAUGCCUAAAUGGUCUGAAUGGUUAGGUAUGAAUUGGACUUGAAAUGACUUGAUUUUAGGUUAAAUUUUGGUUUCACAUGGCUUGGGACACAAGCUGUCACAUGGUCGUGUGACACAUAACCUGGUAACAUGGACGUGUGCCAUUUGAAAUUUCUUAGUGAUUCAAGUCAGUGAGUUACACGACCUGACACACAGGUGUGUGUGGCAACUCAGAGAGUUAUACGGCUGUGUAACACUUCUCAGUGAGUUACACGGGUAAGGACACGUGCUGGGACACGGUCGUGUUCCCCUUGUUCGAAUAUUACACGACCUGGCCAUACGACCGUGUGGCCCCUGUUUUCACAUUUUUGCAUCGUUUUCUUAAAACUUCUAUUUUGUUUUGAUUUAGUUCUGAAUUGCUUCUAAGCUAUUUUUAAAGCCUCGAAGGCUAGAUUUAGGGACAAAAUGCAAAUGAAUGAUUGGUUUACAAUAAAUUUAAUUUGUUUUAUGUUAUAAUGUUAAAUGAUUUCUAGUUGAAAGAUAAUGCUCUGUAACCCUAAUCUAGAGGCGGAGACGAGUUAAGGGUGUUACAACGCUUGUACUCUUCUUUCGUCUAGUUAAAAUAUGAACUAGAAUGGCAUGAAUAUAUUACAAUGUUGGAGGGAGGUACUGAGCCUUAGACUGGCUCGGGUUGCACGAAAUGGCAACCUCAGAGAUUUUCGACCAACAUAGAGAGACCGAAUAAUGGAUGUGUUGUGGGAGGGAUGAGAGCUCGGUCACUGCUAAGAAAUCAUUAGAAUAUAGGUUGAGAGUGACACCAAAGCCUGCAUUACUAAAGUGUUGAGCGAUACCCCCAAGACGGAAUGAUAUAGCCCGUGGGUCAUCCCCCAACGAUAGUACAGUUGGUAGGAAGAAUGUGGAGAAAAACUCGAAUGUAAGCUCAACAUAUGUAGACUCGACGAUCGUGAAGAAUCACUCCCAUGGGAUUGCGAUUAAAAGAGAAUGAAUCAGUGCGAAUAAGCUCAUAAUUUGGAAGGUGUCCCAAUCUACACGCCGGCCCAUGCCCAAUGCUCUAUCCUUAAUAUUCUGGUACCUCUCCUCAUGGGGUGGAUGGUCAAAGGUGAGGUAUUUGUAACGAGUGGUUGUGAUCGGAGAGGAUGAAGAUGAGGUCUAAGUGGCUUUUCUUUUCUUAGAAUGAGUGUGGACCCUAUUUUUUCCUUGUAGUUUUUGCAUUUUGUACCUGAAAUAAAAUAUAAUAACCAAAUAUCAGAGAACCAAAAAUCAAAACCACAAAAAAUGAAUCUAGCAAAUAGACAAAUCGACAUAUGAAAUAAAACACAUUGGCAAGAGAACCACCUCACGAUGAAAGUCGAAUCACAACGAGUCUAACCAAAAUCUACUUCGAAUACAAAACUAGAGCUAAUACUAAUACUAUCGAGGCAAAAAUAAAUAAAUUAAACUAACCAACUAAAACUAAUAAUAUUAGAAUAAUAAAAUAAUAAAAUAAUGACAAGAAUACUAAUACUAAACAAAAUAAACAUAUUAAUAAUAAGAGUAAUAAUAAUUAAAAUAAUAAGAAAAUAAAUAAAAACAAAAAUAAUAAAAAAUAAAAUAAAAUAAAAUAAAAUGAAAGAAUAGGGUUGAGCCAAAUGGUGGUAACGGUGGUUGUUGGCGGCGAUGGUGAAUGGAGGCGCAAGUGAGGAUGUGUGAGAGGACUGAUGGAGGUGGUGCGCAGGUGAAAAAGGUUAGAACGGAAGGAAAAAAACAGACGAUAGAGGAAAUGGCAUGAUCGACGGUAGGGGAAGGAAAGGGAAAGGGAAAAGUGCGGGGAAGGAAUGGAAACGACACGAUCGACGGUAGAGGACAUGUGUCCAGCCAAUAUGGAAUGGCCCGGCUUGUGUGGCUCUUAAAGAUUCCUCCAAUUUUUCGAUUUUCGCUCUUUUUUCUUCCAAAUGUUCUCCUAAAUAUAGAAACAUGAAUUUAAAGGAUUAGGGGCAUAAAAUUCACCAUUUUAAAUCGAAUAAUCAUCCAAAAAUGCUUUAAGAAUGAGGCUAAAACAUUUACUUUUGGCAUUUACCAAUAAGAAAUGGGUUGGUUUGAAAAUAAAUGGAUUGCUUGUCGUAGAAUAUUAUUCUCGGCAGAAAUUAAAAUAUAAAAUUUUAAAAAUUAUAUUUAAUACAAUAAAACAUUUAUUAUAUUUAUGGUAGUAUUUUUUAAUGUGGUAUGGAACUCUUAGUUGAUGAAACUUGUUUAGUGGUAGAUUAAAUAGACUAUUAGAUUAUUAAUUCUGAAGCCAUUAGUCAUAUUUGUGUUUAUUGCAGGGGUUCAAGUAAAUGAGAAGCCUUCGUGAGAAGGAUCUCUCAUUGCAACUAGAGAUGCGUGAAGAAAUGUAGCGGCAAAAGUAGUGGGAAAAGUACAUUUGUAUUUUGAUAAUUUUAGGAAAAUCAUUUUAAAAAACAUACUUUAUGUACCUAGUUUUAGGAGAAAUUUAAUUUCUGUUGCAUGUUUAUUUCAAGACAAAUUUUUUGUGACUUUUAAUAAAGGGAUUGCAAUUCAUAAAAAUUAUGUUCUUAUAUGUAAUGGAUGGAUGCAAAAUAAUAUUUAUUUUAUUAAACUAAAGAGCUACUCACUGUUUGAAACCAAACUCGUGAAUAAGAAACUUAAAACUUCUCACUCUAAUACUUAUGAUAUUUACGACUUAGUCACGUUAAACAAGAAAGAAUGUAAUACCCCUAACCCGUAUCCGCUGCCAGAACAGGGUUUCGGAGCAUUACUAUCAUUUACAGAUCACUAAAAAAAUUUAAAUACUUAUCGAUUCAAUGCAUCAUAUAAAUAAAUAUAUUAUCAUUCAAUCAACAGUUUGACACUUGUAUAAGCAUCAAACAGCAACAUUGUUAGUAUACUUGCACAUAUCUCAUAUAAAUUCAACAUUGAUAUAUCUAUUUUCUCGACAUAUCGCACUUGAGUUUAAUAAUAGUCUCAACUUACAUAAUUUCCUUGUAUCAACAUAUCAAAGAUAAUCAUAUAUGUACAUGUCAUGAAACAUAUCAUGCUCUUACCGUUUCUUCAUAAGCAUAUAUCAUUCAUUUCAUUAUAUCAAUAUUUCAUGCUCCAUCAUUUCUAUAUAUUUUAUGUAUAUUUAUUCCGGUAAUAGCUUAUAUCAAACUUAACAUAAAUUAUAUUCCAUGUACUUAUACUUAUUUCGUUUAUCUAUCUUCAUAAUUAUUUCAUAUAACCAUUCGUCAUCUGAUACAUAUUACCUGAAUAUCAAUUGUUCAACAGAUGUUAGAGCGUCUCCCAUCCACGGUCUUAUUUAUCUUUGACAUGAUGCCAUAGUGUCUUUCAACUAUGGUCUUACUCAUUUUCUGUCAUGUUGCCAUGGUAUCUUUCAACCAUGGUCUUGUUCAUUUCAUAUCACGUUGCCAUGGUAUCUUUCAACCAUGGUCUUACACAUUUCAUAUCAGGUUGCCAUGGUAUCUUUCAACCAUGGUCUUACACAUUUCAUAUCAGGCUGCCAUGGUAUCUUUCAACCAUGGUCUUACACAUUUCAUAUCAGGUUGCCAUGGUAUCUUUCAACCAUGGUCUUACACAUUUCAUAUCAGAGAGCACACUCCCGCGAACCUCAUCCUUACAGUGGGAUUACCAGUCCAGGCUAAAUCCCCUGUAACAUAAACUCAUAGAGUAUUGUCGGGAUUACCAGUCCAGGCUAAAUCCUCUGCAACGACAAUUACUCUAAUGAGCUUAGAUCUGAAUUACCAGUCCAGGCUAAAUUCAGACCCUAAUUCGGAUUACCCGUCCGGGCUAAAUCCAUUUUACACGUAUUCUUCGGGAGGGCUAUAUCAGAAUAGGAUCACCGGUCCGGGCUAGAUCCUUUUUACCGUCAAUUCCUUUUCAGAGAUCCAUCGAAUUUUCCUUUCAUUCAACUGGGAUUUAUUUUCAAUUUAUAUCGAGAAUUAUCAAUAUUUCAUCAAAUAUCAUGAAUUGAACAUUCAAAUCAUAUUUUCAUCACAUAACCACAUAUUUCAAGUAUUUAAAAUACAAUUCAAGUUACACAAACUUACCUCAUUGCUUGUUUGUGUUUAUAAUUUCAUUAAUCCGAUAUCUUUUCUUUUCUACGAUCAAGUCUCAUAUUUGAGUCGUCCGGAUCUUUAUAAAUAAAUUUGAUCAUCAUUUUCAUUCAUUUCAUCUUCUAAUGCAUUUAAUUAAUGCUCUAGGCAAAAUUACCAUUUUGCCCCUAAACUUUUAAUUAAUGACGAUUUCGUCCUUAGGGUCAGGAAAAUAAAAUUCUUGCAAUUUAAUCCUUAUUUCCAGCUAUUAUUCUCAUAUAUAUUGAUAACAGUCCAUGAAUUCUAUAAAAUAUCAGAAUUUUCCAUAAUUUCAACACUUUUCAAUUUAAUCCCUAAAACAUGUUUUCCCCCGAUCUUGAACUAAAUUAAUAAUUUCAUUCAAUUUUGUAAUUUAAAUAAUAAAAUAAUCCAUUUCAUGCAAUUUGGUCAUUUAUGACAUUUUUACAAAAUUUCCCAUAAAGUUUUACUUUUAUUCAAUUUAGUCCCUAAGCCUAAAAUAUGCAAAUUAGCCAUGCUUAAUGAAUAUUCAUAUAUGUUUUCCUCCUCCUCCUCUCCAUUCCACAUCCUUGAUGUAUGUAGCACACUUGUAAGUAACAUUAUCUAUAAUCUUUAUUAUUUACUUUUAUGAAUAUUCAAGCUGUCCAUCUGUGUCAUGGUCACUAAAUUAUUUAUAUCUGGAGCUAUAGGACUCCAAAUUAAUAUCCGUUAAUUUUCCCUGAAACUAGACUCAUAUAUAUUCUUACCAUAAAAUUUUAAGAAUUUUUGGUUUAGUAAAUAAGUACAGUUUAUUCUUUAAAGUUACCCCUAUUCUGCUGUCUGACAGUUGUGACCCUUCUUCACUAAAAAUUAAUUAUCUCCUUGUACAGAAUUCGAAUGAUGUUCAUAUUUGUUUCUAUUGAAAAUAGACUCAUUCAUGAUUCUAAAAAUUUAAAUUUAAGCCUCUAAUUAUUUUAUCCAAUUUUUUUAUGAUUUUACAAAUUCAGAACAGGGGAACCCGAAAUCAUUCUGACCUUGUCUCACAAAAUUCAUAAUAUCUCAUUAUUUAGAAUUCCAUUGCUUACAUAAUUUCUUCUAUAAGAAACUAGACUUAAUAAGAUUUAAUUUCAUAUUUUAUUCAUCCUAUAAUUAGAUUUCUACAUUUUUUUAUGAUUUUUCAAAGUUAGACUACUGCUGCUGUCCAAAACUGUUUUAGUACAAGAUAUUAAUUACCAUGUUAUAACAUCCUUAUUUUCUUUUUCUACACCAUUUCUCAUCACUUUCUCUUAUUUUUUCUUCACUAACAUAUCAAGAACAUAGGACCUUAUGUAAGAAAACUCUACUAUAACAUUAUUUCCAUGCUUUAUCAAUAAUAACAAACUUAGAAACAUAUUGAAAUCUUGAUGUACUUACCUUUUCUUAUCGACUUCAAUCUUUAACUUGAUUUUUCUCUCUCCUCCAGCUUCGAUUUCUUGAAUCCGACUUGAUAUUCUUGCUCCCCAUCAUCUCCUUGCUAUCUUUCUCUCUUGAUGGCUAUGGAAAUUCUUUCAAUUUUUAGGUGAAAAUAAUGAAUUUUUGGUGGAACGACUAAAUUGUAAAGAAAGCAAACUUCUUUUCUUCUUCUUAUCUUACGUUAGUUUGCAUGGGAAAGGAAAUGUGUUGAUAAUUCUUCAUCUUUCCUUCCUUUUAUACUAAAUAAAUAAUAAUAUAAUAAUAAACAUCUCAUAAAAUAUUAAUAAAAUAAUAUUUAUCUAAUUAAUUAAUUUAAAAUAUCAUCAACAUAAUCAUUACAUUCUAGAAUUCUCUCUCUUACUAAUUGACCAUUUUGCCCUUCAUGAUCUUUUAGAAUUCCAUCCUUGAGUCAUCACUUAAUUUGGUAAAAUUGCGAUUUAGUCCCUAAUAAUUUUUUACCUAUUCAAUUUGGUCCUAAUUCAUCAAUUUUUCUUGGUUUCUAGAUCAUUCCACCCUUAAAAUAUUGUCACCAUUAGUCCUUCAACUUUUUUAUAUUUACACUUCAACCCCUUAAUUUUUUAGUAUUUACUCUUGUGCAACAAGACUUUUCUCAUCUUUACAAUUUAGUCCUUUCUUGAAUUAAUAUAUCAUAAUAUACUUUUCAAUAUUGACAUCACUCAAAAAUUCCCUUUUUGUCACUUUAUUUCCUUAUUUUACUAUAUCACGGAUAAUAUAUUACUGUAAAAAUUUUCGGGGUAUUACAAAGAAUGAAUAAACUUUUUAAAUAUGGGACUUUAAGCUCACUUAAAGAGGUACAUCUUCCACAAUGUAAAUCUUGCCUUGAAAGGUAAAAUGACAAAGCAAUCUCCUCAUGCAAAAGGUACAAGGGCUGUUCAAUCAUUAAAACUUGUGAAUACUGGCGUAUGAGAUCCCAUGAACGUUAGUGUGAGAUUUGGUUACAAUUAUUAUGUAAACUUUAUAAACAUUUAUUCCAGAUACUAGUCUGUGUACCUAAUGCACCACAAGAGUGAAACUUUUAAAAAGUUUCAAGAGUUUAGUGUGAAAGUGGAGAAACAAUUAGGUUUACCUAUUAAGAAACUUCAGUUUGACCAACGCGGGGAAUACUUAUGGGACGAGUUUAUAGGAUACCUCAUAGAGAAUGAGAUACAAUUCUAAUAAAUUGUGCGAGGUACUCUACAAUAGAAUGGCGUGGCAGAAAGAUGGAACAAAACCUUACAGAUAGAAUUGUGCAUGUUUGUUGGUUGUCCAAAACGAACUAAGGGUGGAUUAUUUUAUAACCCAAAAGACCAAACAGUUAAGGUUUAGACUUAUGCUACUUUCCUUGGGGAAAUCUAUAUUAAAAAUUUUAAACCUUGAAGUAGAUUGUAACUUCAUAAAAUUUCAGGAAAAUGAGCUUAUUUUUUAGUAACUUGUAAGUCAUUUUACGUGAAACAAACGCAUCUGAAGGAAAAUGAAUAAGAGGAUAAUAAUUUUAUAAACAAUGAUCUAAAAAUUUUACUCAUACCAUGUGUCGAAACUAUUUUUAAAUCGAGUUUUGGAAAAUGGGAAUCGACUUUAAAAAUGAAAACGGGAGUCGCCGCCAAUCUUUUUAGGUGUGAUUGGAUCACCUUUAAAACAUUUGUUUUAAAAUCGUUGGUUUUGGUCUACGAAAUCAAAAGAAUGGGUUCGGGAGUCGGUUACGUACGAGGAAGGGUUGGCACCCUCGUAACGCCCAAAAAUUGGUACCUAAUUGAUUAUCAAAAUGUCUCUAAUGUCGGAAAUUAAAAAUUUUAAGAUGUAAUCCUCUUUAAAGUAUUUGAAAAUUUGGGUUUACUUGUAUCAAAGUAUUGACUAUAAGUUAGCCUUUUAGAAACCUCUAUCUCAAAAUAGCAAAAUGUUACAUUCAGUAAGUUAGGACAUAUCACUUUACAAUUCCAAGACAGUCACUUAUAUUUUGAAAUCCUUUAAGAACUUUAGAAUGGUACUUGACUAUUCGAACUUAACGAGAAAAGUUGCAACCCAAUAAGUUAGGGCACUACUUCUUCGAAAUUUUCAAACACCAAGCAUUGCCUUUAUAUUUUUUGAAAAUUUUGGAGCCUUGUCUUUUUAAAGAUGAUGUGUGGAGAAUUGUAUUAAAUCAUAAUGAUAUAUUAUUGUACUAGGUAGAUAAAAAAUGAAUACUACGAUAUAAAGAAUAAUACAUAUAAAGCAAAAAAAAAUGCAAACAAAGAUAUAUAGCAUGUAUCGAGAACGGAUAAACAAGAUAUAUAAACAUAUGAGAUAAUACUUAAAUGAUGCGUGAUAUAAAAACAAACAUAAUCAAAUAAUGCAUGAUAUACAAAUAGAAUAAAUGUAAUGUCAAUAUGCAUAUAAUUAUAAUAAAAAAUUUAACACAUACAUGAUACAUACAAUACAAAACAUAUAGAAGAACUAAUAAAAAAAAUGAUUGAUUGCUAACAAAAUAUACAUGCAAUUAAAAACAAGACAUUUCAUAUCAAUAGUAUUUAAUAUAUAAUAUAAUAACAUAGUAACAAGAAUAAAAGAAUAAUAAUUAUAUAACAAUAUAUUGGUUUGAAAGCAUGUAAGAGAUUUCAUAAUAUAACAAUAUUAGUUUAAAAUGAAAUAAUAUAUGUAUAGUAAAUAAAUAAAAAAAUGAAAUGUGUAUAUAAUGUGAGUUAAAAAUAUGAUUUAAUAAUAAUAAUUUACAUUUUUAAAAUAAUAUAUAUAAAACAAUCUAAUUUGCGAUACAUAAUAUACAUAACAUAUAUAUAUAAAAUAAUAUAAAAAUGAAAUAUAAUAAAGAUUAUAUAAUAAAAUGUAAUAUGAACAUAUAAGAAAAAAAAUAGAUAUAAUAUGAAGUAACAAUAUAUAUAAGUAAUUAAUAAAUAUAAUAUAUGAAAAUAUAAUAAUAUAUAUAAGAGAUGUAAAAUAAUAAUUUAAGAAAAAUAAUAUAUAAUAAGUAAUAAUAAUAUAUAAUUAAAAAUAAUACUUAUAAUAAAAUAAUUUUAUAAUAUAUAAUAUAAAAGUAAAAUUAGAAAUAAACGAAUAAUAAAAUAUAUAUGGAAUAAUAUAAUAAAUAUAGGACUAAAUUUAAAGUUUAACAAAAUUAUGGGGCGAAUUUUGAAAGGAAUAAAACUGAAUUAAGGACCUAUUUAAAACGCGCGCAAAAUUAAAGGGACUCACUGGGCAAAUUGCCCCUUUUCCCAAAACGUCACCGUUUCCCCUAAUACAAUUGUAAAUCAUUGGGAGGGUCGAAUUGAAAUAGAAUUAAAAUAUUAAUACCAAAUUAAAAAAAUAAAAAAAUGAAAUUAGAAGUAUAAAAAAUUGCGAGAGGACCAAUUGGGUAAUUAACCCAAUUCUCAAAAAUGGGCGGAUCCUCCCCGGGUAAUUGGGUCAACGCGCGGAUCCUAUAGUUGUAAAAUGACACCGUUUUAAAUAGACUAUAUAAAUCAAACUUCGCCCCCAAAAUCAUUUUAACAUCCGUUUUCAAAAAAAAAAAGAAAAAAUCCUCUGGAAGAGGAUUUGGGGGCCGAUCCCGGAGCUGCUGAGCCUCCGUCCAGGGGUCUCCUCACGCGCUCACGCGCCGCCCUGUACGGUGGUCUGAGGGUUAAAAUCCUCGUCCUUCCACAGGUAAUCUCUUCCCCUUUUUAAAAAUUACUAUUUUUUGCUAAAAUGAUGUACAUACAUGCAUAUGCUCUAAAAUGAAAAAAACACACAGUUAAAUCACCUUUUCUUUGAAACUGCUUGUAUUCUCUUUUUUUAUUUCUGUAUGCAUGUGUGUGUAAUCGUUACAAGAGUUACAAAGGCUUUUUAUAGCCUACGGAUUUGUUACAUAAGGAAAGAAAUCUCUGAUUUCUAUUGUAUCUUUGACUGAUGUGCUGCGAUUUCCUUGCCAUUUUCUACUCUGCUUUUUCGCGUAUCUGCUGUUUGUUUCCUUUUCUUGUAGGCAAUUGAGCGAGGGAUCCGGCAAUGACCAUGCUGGUGUAGACGCGUGCACUAAUCACGGUGCUGAUGGAGGGUUACUGAAACAUCGUGGGAGACGAGCAGACGCAUCCGUUGAAAUUGCUUCUGGAAGCUUCUACUUGCGACGCGAGGAGAAAGGCAGAAACCCUAGGGUUUGCUGCCUUGGUGUAACAAGCUGGGCCAAUUGGGCUUUUUGAAUUUGGGCUAGCUAGUUUUAAUUGGGUCACGGGUGUUUGUGGGUCUGCUGGGUAGUUUGGGCCUGAUUAGGUUACAAGUGUAACGGGCUUUGGGCUCACUAGGCUUUGAGGCCUGUUUAUUUGUAAAUAGACUUUAAUGGACAUUUUUUAAAUAAAUAUUUAUUCAUAUUCUGCUUUCAGCCCGGUUAAAUUUGGGCUUUUACACCAUGAUUUUGAUUUAUUUUAUUAGUGAUUUUCAUUUUCUAUUUUCCUUUUUUUAGCGACUCUUUAGAUAAUUGAGACCAUUAAAAAUAAAUCAUAAUAACUAAAAUUAAAAAUUUAAUAUUAUAAAAAAAACCCAUAUAUUUUAGUUUAAAUUUUAAAAUUAAAUUGUUCACAGAUUAAGCUAUUUCUCCGCUUAGUAGGCACGUUUUAAAUUUUUUUACCACAAAUUAUCUCUCUCAAAAAUAGUAAACCUAACAACAUCCUUUUACCAAAUUUACACAUUUACACGUUUUGUUCAACACUCUCGGCAAUUACCAAUCCAACUGUUAUAAAUUAGGCCAAAGUUCAUUGGAAAAAACACACCAUCACAAAUUAACAGUAUUAGCCGCCUAGCUAGCUAACUUUUAUUUUAAAAAAAACAUGAAGAGGUUUUCCCUUAUUGUUUUGUGCGUGGUGACUCUAGUGAUGGUGUUGUUUUCAGGUGCAGAGGCAGCGCCAGUGCCGAAAUGUGAUAACCCCUUAGAGUAUAGCUCAUGCUUGAAUGCGUACAAGAAGCCACCUCCAUCAGCCGGUUGUUGCCAGAAGAUGAAGGAACAAGCACCAUGCUAUUGCAAGUACAUGAAGAUAGAAGAUGUCAAACGUGUUUUUGACAGAGUUGAGAUUGCGAAAAUGGCUAAAUUGUGUGGAGUUUCAUAUUCUUCCACCUGCUAGAAUCCCGUUUGGUUUCAUUUGACUAUCUCUGGAUGAGAUAACCUGACAUCUCAAUAAAUGAAAAUUUUAUUUGAAAACUAUUUUUUUACCCAUAAUUUCGACUAUAAUGUACUUGUGUUCUUUUUUUUUUUUGGAAUAAUACUGGUGGUUUGCUAUUAUUUACCUUUAUUGUCUUGAUUCAUGUUAUAUAUAUGCAAAAAGAACUACACAAUGAUCUAGAUUUUGUUUGAACUAUACUGGAUUGGUUAGAUUAGAAACUGAUCUGGAUAGUAGUAUAAUUAGAGGGGUUAGAUUGGUUGACCCACGAACCGAUAGGCAGUAGUUGAAUCGGUUUUCUCUAAUAAAGUAUUUUUAUAUUUAUUUUAAUCUUUAAGUAAUUUAUUUAAUCAAACUAGAUGAAUAGUUCGAAAUAAAAAAAUAGUUAUUUAACUGAUUUAAUCGUCGUCCAGUUCUGAAAACAUUGUUAUAGUUAAAAAAAAAACAAGAGAAAUGAGUUGUGUAGAUCAAAUUAUUAUAUUAUAAAAAUAUAUGUUAUUUGAAUAUUUAUUUAGGUAAAAUACACUAGUAGUCACUCAACUUUUAGUAAAUUUCUUUAUUUCUUAUCGAAUUAUGAAAAAUUACAAAAUGAUCACCUAACUAUUCAAUUUUUUCUUUUUUGAGCUUCGGUCAGCUAAUGGUGACAACCAGACUUGUUAAUUGGUCGAGUUACCUGCCCAAGCCCGAUGGUCUGCUUGAAAAAUGGAAGGGUUUGGACAAAUAUAUGGUGCCGAAAAAUGGGUUAGGGUAAAAUUUAAGGCCUAUUUUCUAUAUGAUUGGGAUCUGUGCAAAUUUUUUUUUAGCCGAGCACAAUUUGAUUAUAUUAAUUAUAUAUGUUAAAUAAUAAUUCUAUAUUUAUAUAUAUUGAAUUACUAACCCAAUAACAACUAAACCCAUUUUUCAAAACCUAAAAAAAAAACUUAGCCAACUUAAUAAUUGGCUUCAGCUUUUCCUCAAGCCCGUCAAUUAGUUAACCAUAGACAUAUUUUAGUUAAUGGCUUACAGUAGAUAUACCAAGUUAUCGUUGUAAGCCCCGAGAUAUUAUUUCAAUGAGGGAUGAACAAAAUUCUAGAACUCUUAUUCAAAAUCAUCUUGAUUCAUCCACCAAUGAGGAAUUACCAAAACAUUUAGCCAUUCACACAUUACAAUAUAAAGGAUUAGUCAAUCAAAUAAUAUAUGAGAAAUAGGUUGGUUUGAAAUAAAUGGAUUGCUUGUAGUAGAAUAUUAUUCUCGUCAGAACUAAAAAUAUAAAAUAUAAAAUUUUUUAUUUAAUACAAUAAAACAUUUAUUAUAUUUAUGGUAGUGUUUUUUAAUGAAUCUUUAAUGUGGUAUGAAACUCUCAGUUGAUGAAACUUAUUUAGUGGUAGAUUCAAUAAACUAUUGGGUCAUUAAUUCUGAAGUCAUUAAUAAUAUUUGUGUUUAUUGUUGGGGUUUAAGUAAACGAGAAGCCUCCGUGAUAAGGAUCUCUCGUUGCUUGCUAGAGAUGGGAGAAAUGUAGCAGCAAAAGAAGUGGGAGAAGUACAUUUGUAUUUUGAUAAUUUUAGGAAAUUUAUUUUAAAUGAUAUUUUUUAUGUACCUAGUUUUAGGAGAAAUUUAAUUUCUAUUGCAUGUUUAUUUAAAGCAAGUUUUUUUGUGACUUUUAAUAAAGGGAUUGCAAUUCAUAAAAAUCAUGUUCUUAUCCGUAAUGGAUGGGUGCAAAAUAAUAUUUAUUUUCUUACACAAAAGAGCUAUUCACUGCUUGAAACCAAACUUGUGAAUGAGAAACUUAAAACUUCUCACUCUGAUUCUUAUGAUAUUUAAUACUUAAUCGCGUUAAACAAGAAAGAAUGAAUAAACUUUUUAAAGAUGAGACUUUAAGUUUACUUAAAGUGAUACAUCUUUCACAAUGUAAAUCUUGCUUGAAACGUAAAAUAACCAAGCAAUCUUCUAAUGCAAAAGGUACAAGGGUUGUUCAAUCAUUCAAACUUGUGCAUACCGACAUAUGUGGUCCCAUGAACGUUAGUGUAAGAUUUGGUUACAAUUAUUUUGUAAACUUUUUAGAUAUCUAGAUACUAGCUAGUAUGUGUACGUAAUGCAUCACAAAAGUGAAACUUUAAAAAAAAUUCAAGAUUUUAGUGUGAAAGUGCAGAAACAAUUAGGUUACCUAUUAAGGCACUUCAGUUUGACCGACGUGGGGAAUACAUAUCAGACGAGUUCAUAAGAUACCUCAUAGAGAAUGAGAUACUAUCCCAAUUAACUGUGCAGGGUACUCCACAACAGAAUGGCAUAGCAAUGAGAUGGAACAAAACCUAGCUUGAUAUGAUUUAUUCAAUGCUAAGUUAUUCAAAACUUCCAAUAUCAUUCUUGGGGUAAGCAUAUCGACUUGCGAUAUUUUAAAUUACAUAAAAACUAAGGAAGCACUUCAGGAUCCAUAUGAAAUGUGGCAUGACAUGAAGCCAAGCCUAAAUCAUUUUAGGAAUUGGGGAUGCCCAACUUACGUGUUGGCUAAAGAUACAAAAAAUUUGGAAGCACGGAUAGAAUUUUGCAUGCUUGUUGGUUGUCCAAAACGGAGUAAGGGUGGAUAAAUUUAUAAUCCAAAAGACCAAACAGUUAAUGUUUCGACUUUUGCUACUUUCCUUGAGGAUAUCUAAAUUAAAGAUUUUAAACCUCAAAGUAGAUUGUUACUUCAAAAAAUUUUAGGAAAAUGAGCUUCUUUUUCUAUGACUUGUAAGUCAUUUUCCGUGAAAUAAACCCAGUUGAAGGAAAAUGAAUUCACGGAAAAUGAAUAAGAGGAUAAUAAUUUUAUAAACAGCGAUAUAAAAUAUUUUACUCAUACCAUCAUUUUGAUUGAUUUUAUUAGUGAUUUUAAUUUUCUAUUUUACUUUUUUUAGUGACUCUUUAAAUAAUUGAGACCAAUAAAAAAACCAUAACAACUAAAAUUAAAAAUUUAAUAUUCUAAAAAAAUAUUUUAAUUUUAAUUUUAAUUUUAAAUUGUUCAAAGAUUAAGCUAUUUUCUCGGCUUUGUAAGCACGUUUCAAUUUUUUUUUACCACAAAUUAUCUCCCUUACAAAAAUAGUAAACCUAACAGUAUCCUUUUACAACAUUUACACAUUUACACGUAUUGCCCAAAACUCUCGGCAACUAAUAAUCCAACUACUAUAAACUGUGUAAAAGUUCAUUGGAAAAAACACACCAACACAAAUUACCAUUAUUAGUCACCCAACAAGCUAACUUUUUAUUUAAAAAAACAUGAAGAGGUUUUCCCUUAUUGUUUUGUGUGUAGUGACUUUAGUGGUGGUGUUGUUUUCGGGUGCAGAGGCAGCGCCAGUGCCGAAAUGUGAUAACCCUUUGGAGUAUAGCUCAUGCUUGAAUGCGUAUAAGAAGCCACCUCCAUCAGCCGGUUGUUGCCAGAAGAUGAAGGAACAAGCACCAUGCUAUUGCGAGUACAUGAAGAUAGAAGAUGUCAAACGUGUUUUUGACAGAGUUGAGAUUGCGAAAAUGGCUAAAUUGUGUGGAGUUUCAUAUUCUUUCACCUGCUAGAAUCCCGUUUGGUUUCAUUUGACUCUCUCUGGCUAGGAUAACUUGGCAUCUCAAUAAAUGACAAUUUUAUUUGAAAACUAUUUUUUUACUCA